rnacentral:rRNA from 1 species
CCUACGGGUGGCAGCAGUGAGGAAUAUUGGUCAAUGGACGAGAGUCUGAACCAGCCAAGCAGCGUGAAGGAUGACUGCUCUAUGGGUUGUAAACUUCUUUUAUAUGGGAAUAAAUUGUUCUACGUGUGGGGUUUUGAAUGUAUCAUACGAAUAAGGAUCGGCUAACUCCGUGCCAGCAGCCGCGGUAAUACGGAGGAUUCGAGCGUUAUCCGGAUUUAUUGGGUUUAAAGGGUGCGUAGGUGGAUUGUUAAGUCAGUUGUGAAAGUUGGCGGCUCAACCGUGAAAUUGCAGUUGAUACUGGCAGGCUUGAGUGCAGUAGAGGUAGGCGGAAUGCGUGGUGUAGCGGUGAAAUGCUUAGAGAUCACGAAGAACACCGAUGGCGAAGGCAGCUUACUGGACUGCAACUGACGCUGAGGCACGAAAGUGUGGGUAGCAAACAGGAUUAGAUACCCGUGUAGUC